GAAUUCAAGAACUUCACCGGAUACAUGAACUCUUGUUCAGUUAUAUAUAUUAUCAUUUGCAAUAUCCAUUUGUUGAAUUCAAAUGCCAAUAAAUUAAGUUGAGCAGAUGAUGAAGUGUCAACGAUCAUACUUUUAGAAAACAUAAAGAUCUUGAAGAAACCAACAAUGUCUUUUAGUGUUCUAUCAAGGGAUUCAAAUGCCAACCUUUUAGUCAUAGGUGUUUCAUUCCAAAUAAUCAAAUCUAUUUGAAUUAUUAAUUGAGCAAGCUGAGUAUUUUACUUGAUUAAGCUCGUACUAUCUUCAAAAACAUCUAGAGGUAUUUUAAAUCGACUAUGAGUGUUGUACCUCAAGGUAGUAAUUAAUAAUGAUACGCUCCCUGGAAUUUUUAAAAAAAAUAAAAGAUUAGAGUACAAUGAAUUUAAUACAUAUUAAUAUAGUGUGAUUAUUUAGUUUGUAAAAAUGUAUUUUUAAGUUACUAAAAAAAUGUAUUAUUAAGUUCAAUCAUCAUUGAUUAAAUAAAAAGAUAAAUAUUUGUUAAAUAUUUUUUAGUAAGAAUAAUUCAAAUAUUUAUCAUCAAUAACAAAAGUAAAUAUUAAAAUUACGUUUUAGUUUUGUAAAUAGAACAAAAAAAUUACAAAAUUAAGAAUUUUAAAAUAUGAAACCAUGACAAAUUAAUAUUAUGGCUAAAUAUUUUUUUAAAAAAAAGGCAACCACCGUAAAAAAAAAAAAAAAGAAGGCAGCCACACAAUAGGAGUAAGUCCACAUUGAAUUAAAAAAAAAUUGACAAAAAAAAUAAAUAAAUAAAAAAUAACAAAUAUAUGAGAAAAGGGAGAGUGAGACACGCUUCCCCUUUUUGUCAAAACAAAAACCCUAGCCACCACACCUGGCCUCUCCUCUUCUCCUCCUCCUUCCCUUACGACCACGAAACCACCAGCCAGGCCUCCGACAACUUCCGUCGGACAUGCGACCCACACCACUGACCCCCGUCCCACCCAAUUUUGUUUCUUUGUCAAACUUGUGUUGCACAGGACAAAUGACCACCGCUGCGUGACUUCCAGCGAGGCCCAUAGAGUUCAUAAUUGUAGACUAAAGUAGUAGUGUUACCAUGAUAUUCUCUCUAUGGUAUGGUCAUAUAAUGGAGUUUGAAUUGAAGGUUCCUCCUCUCCCUCCAUGUCAUUGAUUUGUGGAGGAAGUAUACUAUCUAGGCUCAUUCUGUGGUGGUAUCGAGCAAGGAGGGAGUAACUGUGAGUGUUUCAGCUUGACAUAUAUAUGUUUUUGGUUUCUGAUUUUAUUGUUAGUGUUAGUAAAUUUGAAGAACCUUGUGUAGAAAUGAAAUUUCUCUUUUUAUAGGAUAUAGAUUGACUUUUGUUCUAUGAGAUAUUCAUAUAGAAAAGCAUAAGAUAGAUAUAGAGUAGUUAUUUACCUGAUGAAGCCACAUCAAGCACAAUCUUUUUUUUCCAGCCCUGAGCCUUGCAAUGAUUGUCCUAUAGAGAAAUUCAAGAGAACUAAGUUUAGUGAUAAUAAAAUGUUAGUAAAAGACAAUAAAAAAUUGAAACCUUCUUGUCAAUUAGAUUUAGAACCAUAUCAGUGAUUUUUUUUCCUAUAUAUAUUCAGAGUGUCCUAUAUCCAUGAUACUCGUACUUCUUGUAAGAUCAAGAUUUGGUCAUGUGGUACAACUCUAUGUUUUGAUGAUAACAAGUAUUUAUUUGUGGAUGAACAACUAUGAUACUCUAAUGUUUGUCUUGAGUGUUUUGACAAACAGGUUCUGAUUCUGACACCAGAAGAUAUAUUCGUCAGAAGAUCUGAAGAUCAGAGGAUCUGAAGAUCAGAGGAUCAGAGGAUCAGAAGAUCAGAGGAUCAGAAGAUCUGAGGAUCAGAAGAUCUGAAGACCAGAAGCUCUGAGGGACCAGAGGCUCUGAAGGUUCAGAAGCUCUGAAGGUCCAGAAGCAGAAGUUACGAAGGUCAGAGGAUCCAAGCAUCCCUCUGACUCUGAUCACCAAGCUUCACAAGUUCCAACACGAAGCAUUCCUCUGAUCAGAAGUCAUUGGUUAAAGGCAAAUGUCUCUAUCAAGAAGUACAAGAGCAGUGUACUAUUCUGAAAAGCCUACCUACCAAGGUUCAGCCACAGCAGGUUCUGGAAGUUCCAGAAAUGCCCUCCAACGGUCAUAUUCUCUCAACAGAAAUAUCCUUUGCACCUUGGACUAUAAAAGGCUGAAGAAAAGAAGAAAGCAAAGUGAGAGAAAACAAAGAGCUGCAAUACAAGAAAAGAUUCAAGCCUCUACUUUCUUCAUCUAUUCUUAUUUAGUUUACACUCAGCUUAUUUAGAAGCAAACCUUUGUAAACACCAACCUCAAACAGUUGUUUGAUUUUCCUUAAGGGACCGGGUAGGUCA